rnacentral:tRNA from 1 species
GGGCCUAUAGCUCAGUUUGGUAGAGCCACCGGCUCAUAACCGGUUCGUCCCAGGUUCGAAUCCUGGUGGGCCCA